AUGGGUAGGGGGGUUUCCCAUACGGGUUGAAGCAUGACCGUAAGGACAUGUGGACAGUAUGGGAGUGAGAAUGUUGGCAUGAGUAGCGAGAUGUGGGUGAGAAGCCCACAGGCCGUAAACCCAAGGUGUCCAGGGGAAGGUUCGUCCGCCCUGGGUUAGUCGGGACCUAAGCUGAGGCCGAAAGGCGUAGGUGAUGGACAACAGGUUGAUAUUCCUGUACUACCGAUAACCGUUUGAGAGA
rnacentral:rRNA from 1 species